rnacentral:rRNA from 1 species
AUGGUGGUAACGGGUAACGGGGUGUUAGGGCACGACACCGGAGAGGGAGCCUGAGAAACGGCUACCACAUCCAAGGAUGGCAGCAGGCGCGCAAAUUACCCAAUCCCGACACGGGGAGGUAGUGACAAUAAAUAACAAUACGGGGUUCUUUAGGAUCUCGUAAUUGGAAUGAGUACAAUUUAAAUCUCUUAACGAGGAACAAUUGGAGGGCAAGUCUGGUGCCAGCAGCCGCGGUAAUUCCAGCUCCAAUAGCGUAUAUUAAAGUUGUUGCAGUUAAAAAGCUCGUAGUUGAAUUUCGAGAUCGGCUUACUGGUCGUGCUAUUGUACGUACUGGUAUAAUCGGUUUCUCCUUUCUGACGAACUAUAAUGCCAUUAAUUUGGUGUUUUAGGGAAUCAGGACUGUUACUUUGAAAAAAUUAGAGUGUUUAAAGCAGGCUCACGCUUGAAUACAUUAGCAUGGAAUAACGGAAUAGGACGUUUGAUUCUAUUUUGUUGGUUUCUAGGAUCGACGUAAUGAUUAAUAGGGAUAGUUGGGGGCAUUAGUAUUCAAUUGCCAGAGGUGAAAUUCUUGGAUUUAUUGAAGACUAACUACUGCGAAAGCAUUUGCCAAGGAUGUUUUCAUUAAUCAAGAACGAAAGUUAGGGGAUCGAAGACGAUCAGAUACCGUCGUAGUCUUAACCAUAAACUAUGCCGA